rnacentral:misc_RNA from 1 species
GAACGGUGAAUCAUCGAAUCUUUGAACGCACAUUGCGCCCCCUGGUAUUCCGGGGGGCAUGCCUGUCCGAGCGUCAUUGCUGCCCUCAAGCACGGCUUGUGUGUUGGGCCUCCGUCCUCCUCCCGGGGGACGGGCCCGAAAGGCAGCGGCGGCACCGCGUCCGGUCCUCGAGCGUAUGGGGCUUCGUCACCCGCUCUUGUAGGCCCGGCCGGCGCUUGCCGACACAUCAAUCUUUUUUCCAGGUUGACCUCGGAUCAGGUAGGGAUACCCGCUGAACUUAAGCAUAUCAAUAAGCGGAGG